AUCUAAACCUAAUUACCUCCCAAAGGGGUUAGGGCUUCAACAUAGAAAUUUUUGGGGGACACAAACAUCCAGUCUAUAACACUGGACAAUUACUACGUUGUUGGUUCUCAGUUUGCUUCAGAACCAUAGUUCAUGCAGUUUCAAUAGAUAUAUUGAUAACAAAGAGUGCUUCACUCAAAUGAGUUUGGGAAACUCUGGAUUAAACAAAAUCAGCAAAUUUUUCCAGUGAAGUUCUUUUCAGAGCCUCAAACAUGUGCAUGUACAUUGUGAAUUAUCUAUAGAGAGAUUAAAUGUACAUAAUCUCCCAAACUCAUUUCCCUAUGGCAUCUUUUUCAUGCUAUGCUUGCUAAUAUGUCCCAGAAGAUUAUUUCAUGGAAUGUAGUGUAGAAAAUGCUAAUAUUGACCGGACAAAAAUGUGUGUGUAUAUAUAUUUACAUAUAUAUGAAUAUGAAUUUGCAUAUGAAUUUACAUAUAUGUGUGAAUUUACAUGUAUAUUCUGAGUACCUAGAAAAAGAAAAUGUUUUAUAUAUGUGUGUGUGAUAUAUUAUUCUAUCAUAUAUGUCACUAACAUUAACAAAUAGCAUAAUAUUAGAAAUGAAAAAUUCAUUGCAACUGUUUUGUUUUUAAUCAGUGCAAGGUAGGAUGCAGGUAUUGUGGAGCAACAGAACAUCAGAGUGGAAGAGUAUUUUGAUAUAGAAUUGAAUGCUUUCCAAAGUUUUAAAGCUUUUCUCAAACUAAAUUUUAUAUGGAAAUUCUCUUGCUCUCUCCAUAUAUGUAUACGUAUAUAUACAUAUAUACAUAUGUAUACAUGUAUAUAACAGAGUUGCAGUGUUUGAAGUAGAGUUGGGAAAAUGGAGGCCUCACCCUUCCUUCCCAAGAUGAACCCUGAGGGCUUCUCUGAAGGAGCCUCUGAGCUUCACAGGGCCUGGCUUGAAUUCCACCAUCUGAUGCCUCAAUUCAACAGCAGGGGAAUCAGGCUCUAAAAAGUUGAAGUGAUUUCUCAAUGUCUGCUGGCCAGUAGGGACAGAAUAGGGCUAGAAUUAAGAUACCCUAACUCUUAGUUUGGGGCUCAUUUCCUCACAGCACUGGUUUUCCUUCUUUUUUAAAUCUUCAAAUCAUUUUUUCAAAUGAAACAUCAUGCAGAAAUUCAACCUGCGAAACAGAAGUAAAAGCCCAGCUCCUCUGGUUGAAGGAGGAAGGGUGUGUCAGGUGUCAGGCGGGAGGGCUGAGGGACCUGUGGCCUUGUGUGCCACCUGCCAGUCUUCCCACGUUGGUCCUAUUUAAAAAUGAUAAACAAAACUAGGCAGAAACAAUGCACCCAGUCCUUCAAACCAGGGAGGACACCAUUAAUACCCGUUGGAUCUUACCCCUUCCAAGAGAUUGUGACUCAUAGCUAAAAGAGAAAUUAAAAUUUCUUUAUUUAGCAAAGGGAUUGUUUUUUGUCAAAGAUCCAAAUGACAAAGUUUGUUUUUUAAUUUAAAGGAAGAGACUAAAGAGUUUCCCCAAACCUUACCAAAUGAGCUGGCAUCAGAGCUGCCCACAUCAGAAACACAAAGAAUCCAGUCCCUGGGCCCCAGGGCACAAGCUUCUAGAACUUUGGCCAUUAUGUGAGUGAUUCAUUUUGGUGAAUCAGGCCCUUUCUAUGAUUUCAAUUAAUGACAACAAGCCCCAGGAGAAACAACAGCAUUGUUCAGAGCAGUUAGUCUCUCAUCUGGGUGCACAAUAGUAUGAGAGAAAACAUAUGUGAAUAUUCCUCAUUAAUAGCAAAAUCAUGCCCUUGUCCUUAUCAAGUGCUGCCAAAUUAUUCACACAAAGUUGAAAUGAGUCACAGAUAACAUUCUGUGGGUUUCUUUUCUGCCUUUUUCUCUUCCUGUUUAGAGAGUGAAGAUGGGCUUAGAAAUCUAAUUACUCUGUAUUGACCAAAGUGAGAUGAGAGAGGUAAUCCAGAGCAAGGACUUUUUUCUACAAAAUCACUCCCAGUCUUCCUGAAGGAUGCCCCAGGAACCCUGAAGAAUGAAUCAAAACAUGCUUUCAGAUGCCUGUCGGUUGACUCCAGCUGAAUAGACUUCAUGGAAUAGUCCACAAGAUAGGAGGAUGGAAAAUAGUGCAGAAGCAAGACGGAUGGAGAAAACAGGAGCCAUGGCUCCUUAUACACUAGGUGGAGCAAGCGGGAGUCUUGGCCAGGCUGUAGGUGGUUACAGCCUCGCUUGAGGGGCAAGCAACUCCAAAUAGGUAUGAAUGGAAGUAAUUUUUGCAAUAUUGUUCCAGUUCAUUAUUGGGGAAGUUAGGUCGCUGCAGGUGGUACCAGUGGGAAAGAGAUCUGCUGGUCAGGUGCUACCCAGUAUUGCCACUUGGAUGCUCUGAUUAGUGGUUCUAGAUGUAGGGUUAAUAUGUACACUUCCUAAGCUUCAAGUUCACUUAUCCAUUUAUUGUUCUUAGUAAAUGGGAAUAUUUGUCUUGACUACUUUCGUUACUAGGUGUUCAGGAAUGGCUAGAGAUGAGGAGGAGGUAGAAGUUUCCAAAGGAUACCAGAUACGUUGGGCAGUCCUUUCACUUGGCACUAGACCCCCAUUAGUGCAUUGCUCACUAUGGGUAGGGAAUAAAAGUUUGAUGAAUUAAAGUUUUUCGUGAACUAUUUUGGAUCUGAGAAGGGACUGAAUCUAACCCAAACCCUCAACUAAUCAACAUAGUUUUUCAGGUAUGUUACUUUUAAAAAGAAGUAGGAAAUAGUCACAAAAUAAGCUUUUAAGAAACUUGUUCAAUAAAAAAAUGCAAAUUUCUCACUUUAUCUUGGAGCCAGUCUACAUUCACUGCAAUGUCUUCGAAGAAUUUGCAUCUGCAUGGUCAAUGCUGUAAAAUACAUUGAGUUUACAGUCACGCCCUGACUCCUGGGAGAUAAAAUCUCUGUAUUUAAAAUGACAGCCCUGACUCAGGUAAGAACUUCAAACAGUAAAAAUUAAUUCAGUUAGGUUUGCAAGAGAGAGAUCAACUUACUAGAAACAUGAAUGGAUAACACAAAAUCAUUUCUGAUUUAUUCUCCUGUUUACUAGAAAAUUCAGUUAACAAGAAAAGCCGGCACCCUGUGGGGUCUUGUUAAAGUUUCAUUAGCUGGAUCUAACAGAGAAGUGAAAGGAGUCUUUGAAAGAACUUUUUCCUUGAGGCAACUUUGCAUGUAACAGAAAGUGCUGAAGAAAUACCCUUCUUAAGGGAAAAAAAUCUUUCUUCUUUGGAUUAAUGACCUAAGGACAGGUUGGAAAUAAAAAUGGUAAAAUAUCACCCAGAAACAGAGAAAGCAGGACAAGGAAACAUAGACAAUUGCUUUAUUUAUGAAAUGAAUUUUUGAAAAUCAUUGAGUAGAGCAUGAAGAAAGGCAUUCGGUUUUGGAACUAAACAGUUUAACAUUCAGUGUUGGGAAUUAUGUAUGUACACAUCGCAUUUCUUAGAGAAAUCUCAAGCAUAUUUUCAUUAAGCUUACUUAUAUGGAAUAGAUAAUAUAAAUAGCAAUAAUAACCACAAUAAUUUAUUCAGCGCGUAUUUUGAUUUUUAUGAUUUUGCUUUGAUUUUUUAUAAUUUUAUGAUUUCUUAAAAUACAUGUGUAGGUAUUAUUUAAUUCUGUAGUUUCUCAUAGUUUUAGAAUUAUUCUUCUUGUUUUACACAUGAGAAAAGUAGAAGACCAAAAAGUCAAGGUCACAUUUUUCAAUUGGUAAAGGAGUUGUGGGAGGUAAACCUCCUUCUGACCUCAAGCCUUUUCCAGGCACGCCACACUUACAAGCGUUAAUUCUUCUGGUAAUUUUCAGCAAACUUACAGAGCAGACAGCCAAGGCACAUUGCUGUGGCUGUUCUUUCCCUUCUACACAUGUGGGAUCGAAGAAGAUCAAUUCCUGGAAUUGCUUCAGCUCAGAAAGCAGGUCAGCAAAACAGCUGGAAUUGGAACAAAUGUCCUAGCCUUCUCACUUUUUCCUUUCAGAAGGAAGUAGAUUUCCUAUGCGUUUUCAGAGCUCGGCCAGAUUGGGACUGCCAGAGGGUGGUAGUCACUCUGCCUCUCCCAGGUGUGAAAUAUAUCCACAGCUACUAGAUGUUAAUGUUCUUUCUGACAAUUUCCUUCAUGCUCUGUAAUUUCAGCCCCCAGCAGUUCACAUCUUGUUUUACUUUCUUGAAUUUAUCUUAACACAGUCAUGCCAAUUAAGCUCUUAAAUAACAGGAAACUCAAGGAAAUAGCAAUAAAGAUUAAAGAUAUUUCCCAGAAUCUCAUGCGCCAGUGAGCAAGAGGCUUGAAGUCCUUUAGUUAUGGUGUCUAGGAAAAGACACCAUAAAGUCUAGGAAAUAAUUUUCCAGCUUCCACAUUUAUGAGAAUCGUUUACCGUGACUUUUUUAGCGGCGUCUUUACCAUCAUUCUUCUCCUCCGACACAAAAUGGGUCACUCUGUAUGCCAGACGUUGUGCUGGAACAUUCUGCUAGGCAAUGUAUUUUGAUUAGCAGCAAAGUUCUGUGAAUAGCUUAUCUGAAUUUCUACUGCAGCUUUUGAAGUAUGUUUUGCAGAUAUGUAGAUUUGUUACAUGAGUAUCUUCAAAUGUUAGUACACUGACACCUGACACCUAAUUAAUCCAAACCUACAUGGAUAAUUCCCAAUCAAACCAGCUCUUAUGAACCUGGUAAUUAUAGCACUGUUUUCCUAGUUGGGGGGCUAAAAACUUAUCAUCUUUUCAUUCUCUUCAUCUCUCUUCCUCUUUAGGUAAUUAGAUACUGUGUUUUGUUGUUUCUGCCUUCUCAAUAUUUCUCCAAUGCUAUGUUUCCCAAAUUUGGUGUAUGAAAUACUAGUAUACCAUUAGAUGUUUACAGGCUUUCUGUGGGAUCGAAUGAGUUUGGAAAAUGGUGUAUUAAAGAAAAUUAAACACAUUUCUUUAUGGCAAGACUUCUCAGGUCUUUAAUAUAUUUGUGUGCAUUCAAAUGUUCAAGAGAGGAAUGUAAUAUAUGACAUUUCUAAUGUUUAUUUGAUCAAAAACAAUCCCCUCAAUUUCCCAAUUACAUAAAUACUAAUAAGAACAUUGAUACUAAUGGAUAUUCAAAGAUGUUCAUUAGUAAAUACUGGUAUUCUAGUCUGGGAAAUACUGCUGGAAUCUAGUCUCUUGAUUUCCUUGACAAUUUUCUAUCCAGACCCAGUCAUCUUGCUCAAGAUUCCUAUCGUGGAUGUUUCACAGCUGUCUUUCUCUCCAAUCUCUCAUCUCUAAAUUUAGCUUUUUCACUACUAUCACCGGUAUCUUUCCAAUGCAUAGAUAAGAUGUUACUUUCCUCCUGAAAAUCAUUUAAUUUUCCUUAGUAUUGCUAGAAUAAAUUACCUAUAUAAUAAACUCUUUGGUAUGGUAUUCUAAGUCACUGAUGAUGAAGCCAUAACAUUUUUUCUAUCUAGUCUCUCCACAAAUCUAGAAUAUUCUUUGCUAAUGACAAUCCAUUAACCUGGAGCAAAAUUCUAUUCAUUUUUAAGAUCCGUCUCAAGCAUUUGUAACCCAAGUAUUACCUGGGGCUAACCUGUCCCAAUGUAACUUGCCUUCUUCACCUCUAAGCAUAGAAGAUGGCAUUAAUUUCAAAACUUUUGCCUCACUAGGUACAUGUUACAAAAGAAUAUCAAAAUCAAGUACAAGAAAAUAAAAAUCACACCUAAUCCUACCACUUCAGAAUGACUGUAGUUAAAACCUGCCAUAUAUCUUUAUACUAAUAUAUAUCAAUGUCUAUCUGUAUCUAUUUAUAUUCAUCUAUACACACUCACACAACUUGUACAACACACCCACACACCACAUGUCACGUGCAACACACACAACACACACCACCCCCCACGGAGCUCAUGCUAUACUAUGUGGUCAGUUAAUGAAUGUUUACUGUGUCAAAAAUAGAAUCCUAAAGGGAGAUUGGAACAUUGUGCGGAAUUUAACAAUAUACAUUUAAAAAUUGAUAAAUAUAAAUGUCUGCAAGUGAGUUAAAAAUGCACGAAAGAGAGAGUGGCUUUGUAACAAUAUGUGUAGAAAAGACAAAGGUUUUGGUUCAUAGGAAGCAGCACAUAUUCAAAAGUAUAAAAGUCAUAAGUCACUCUUAAAAAGUUAACAGGAUUUUAGCAUUACUGGAAAUAUAAUAUCUGAUAAAAGAGAAAUUUCUGUCUCACUCUAGUCUGCUUUGUCAAGACGCGCAUACAAUAACGUGUUUAAUUCUGGACCCCGACACUUCAAGAGAUACGAACCAAACUGGAAAGUGAUUAGAUUGUGAAGGAAAAAAUAGAUGAAGGAGGUACUCAGGGGAGAGAAGACUCAGGGGGACAUGAAAACUACCUUCUAAUUUCAGAGGGAAUAUCACCGAAAAGAGACAUUACGCUUGCCUGAGUAUUCUCAAGAUACAGAAAUUGAAUAUGUGUGAAAAAUGCAGGAUUUCAGCUUUUUGAUCUAACAUGCAGAAUACACCAUUGAAAUGUAACCACACAAUCUAUAUUAAUAUGACUCUCAUAUUUAGCUUUAUAUUGAACACCAAAACCAAAUGAUAUAUUUCUUCCCCUAAUAUCUUAAAGAUAUAAUAUUUCAAAAUAUUAUUUUCUGUACUUAUUGAUUUUUAAUUAGUCUGAAAGUUACAUACAGUUUUUCAAAAUGAUUGUACCAAUUUAUGCUUCCACUUGCUAUGAGAGCACAUUUCUGUUCCAUGUCAUCGCCAAACUUUUUUCUUUUUUUUUGAGAUAGAUUAGCCCUGAGCUAACUACUGCCAACCCUCCUCUUUUUGCUGAGGAAGACUGGCCCUGAGCUAACAUCCAUGCCCAUCUUCCUCUACUUUAUACAUGGGACUCCUACAGCAGCAUGGGUUUUGUCCAAGUGGUGCCGUGUCCACACCCAGGAUCUGAACCGGUGAACCCCAGGCCGCCCAGAAGCGGAACAUGCGAACUUAAUCACUUCGCCACCAGGACAGCCCAGCCCAGCCAAAAUUUAAUAUUGAUAGUCUUUUUGCUUUUAGCCAUUUGGGAAGAUAUGCACUGGCAUCUGAAAGUGUUUAUAAUUUGCAUUUCUUUCAGUUUCUUUUCAUACGUUUAUUGCCUAUUUGGAUUUCCUCUUUUUCCAAGGGACCAUUGAAAUCUCUUUCCCAUUUUUCUUAAUGACUGUGUUUUUCUUGUUGAUUAGAAAUAGUUCUUUAUAUAUUCUGGAUACAAGGCCUUUGUCAGUUAUUGAAUUAAAAUAUCACUUCCACUCUGUAGCUUGUCUUUUUAGUCUCUUUAUGAGGUCUUUCCAGGAACAGAACUUCUAAAAUUUAGUGUAAUCAUAUUAUCAAUCAUCUCUUUUAAGAACAGUGCUAUCUGUGUCCUAUUUCAGAAAUACUGUCUAUCCCAAAGGCACAAAGAUAUUUUCUUAUAAUAAUUUUUAGAAGCUUUAUUGUUUUGCCCUUCACAUUUAGAACUUCCCAUAUUUAUUCCACCUGGAACUGGUUUUUGUGUAUGGCAUGAGAAAGGGGUCAAAAUAUAAAGUUUUCCCUCUGGAUAUCCAAUUCACCUAGCAGUUAUUGAAAAGAUGGCCUUUUCCCCCAAUACUCUGCAAGCCAUCUUUAUUAUAAGUCAAGCGUCAACAAUCGUGUGAAGGCUAUUUCUGGAUGUCGUAUUCUGUUCCCUAAGACUAUUAUCUGUCUUUGGCCAUUAGCAUGCAGUCUUAAUCAUGGUAGCUUUACAUUAGAUUGACAUCCGGUAGAGCAGGCUGCCUACCUGUUUCCUCUUCAAGAAUGACUUGGCCAUUCUUAGUUAUUGCAUUUCCAUAUAAAUUUUAGAAUCUGUCAAAUUUUACAGAAAAAAACUGUUGGGAAUUUGAUUAACAUUGCAAUGAAUCUAUAAAUCCAAUUAAAAGAAUUGAUAUCUUUGAAUUUUGAGUAAUUUUAUCCAUGAAAAUAAUGAAAUUCUCUGUUUAUUUGAUGUUGACGUCUCUUUUUAUUUUACAGUUUUCUGCUUACAGAUCUGGGAAAGAAGGAUUUAAAGCAGCUGACCUGUGAUCCAUUUAUUUCCCUCUGAUUACUGACCUGGUCUAUCUCCUUAUAAACCUAGUAACUGGACCUCUAGACAAAUAGAAUAAUGACAGUUGCUAGAAGAGUCCUUAUCUAUAGAAUGAUUUGAGCAAGAUAUCCCUGGUUUAGGAUUGCUUAUUAUAAACAAACCUACAAUUUAUGGAUUUAUGAGGUAUGACUCCUUGGAGAAUGUCACAUAAGCUAUAAAACUCUCUGGGUUAUAAAAUGAGAUGUUUCCUAACUUAAAAUUUCCCCAUUGUGUGAAGUGACCUACAAAUCUCAUUAGAGACCUCAUCUAUUAUUCAGGACCACAGAUCUCCUGUCUGAUGCAGGAAAGAGGGCCUUAGGGAGCCACAUAGGAGGCUUCAGUCCUUUUCCUCUUUUGCUGGUGACUUGAUUGCUUGUGUGCUUGAAAUUAUUAGUAACACUUAAUAAAGGGUCAGAGUUCUGAUUUGGAUGAAUUGUAUCUGACAAGCACAUACUUUGUAUUAGGUCAAGGUCUUGCACAUAUUUUGCUACAUUUAUUCCUGGGUACGUGGCAUUUUCAUGCAAUUUUAAAUGCAGUUUCUAAGUUCUUAUUUUCUGUUUGUGGCUGCAGUAUAGAAUUAUAGUUGCUUUAUUUUUUAAAUCAACCUUUAAUGUUUUGAUUACUAAUUCUAAUGAUGUAUAUUUUUGGAUUUUCUACACAUACAACCAUGUUAUCUUUGGAUUUUGAUAGUUUUAUUUCUUGUGUUUCAUUAUUUAUGCCUUUUAUUAACUUAUCUUUUUGAUUUUUUGCACUAAUUAUGAACUCUGGUAUAUUAUUAUGAACUCCUCAAUUUUAGAAAAGCAUUAAAUAGUUCGCCAUUGAUUAUAAUGUUAGCUGUAGGUUCUUUUGCAAUGCUCUGUGCUAGAUUAAUAAAGUUCUCUAUUUCUUGUUUUCUAA